GACGAACGCUGGCGGCAGGCCUAACACAUGCAAGUCGAGCGGACCUUUCGGGGUCAGCGGCGGACGGGUGAGUAACGCGUGGGAAUAUGCCCUUCUCUACGGAAUAGUCCUGGGAAACUGGGGGUAAUACCGUAUACGCCCUUUGGGGGAAAGAUUUAUCGGGGAAGGAUUAGCCCGCGUUGGAUUAGGUAGUUGGUGGGGUAAUGGCCUACCAAGCCGACGAUCCAUAGCUGGUUUGAGAGGAUGAUCAGCCACACUGGGACUGAGACACGGCCCAGACUCCUACGGGAGGCAGCAGUGGGGAAUCUUAGACAAUGGGGGCAAUCCUGAUCGAGCCAUGCCGCGUGAGUGAUGAAGGCCUUAGGGUUGUAAAGCUCUUUCAGCUGGGAAGAUAAUGACGGUACCAGCAGAAGAAGCCCCGGCUAACUCCGUG
rnacentral:rRNA from 1 species